AACGGUCUAUACCUGCGGUACCUGCGGAAGGAUCAUCAAAGAAUUUUAAAACCUUAGGGGGUUCUUUUCUCUUACCUAAGAGAUAAAAGAACUCUCUAACAAACAAACGAUCACAACUAUUGAGAAAGAUUGGAUUCUCUGGGGGGGGAUGGAUGAUAAAAGUGUUUGCCUGAUAAUGAUUGACUUGGAAACAGUAACAGAAAUACAACUUUUAACAACGGAUCUCUAGAUCGGAAGAGC
rnacentral:misc_RNA from 1 species